AGAUCACUUUGCGUUUGUAGGGUCCAUUCUGUUUGUCCUUAGCCGUGCACUCUAGCUAGCUAGGAAGUUUGAUGUCAUCAAAUUUCACAUGAUGUAUAGCGACGUCCAAACAUCAAAACAUUGCUAGCAAAUUGUAAAAAAAAAAUGGAUAGUAACAAUAUAAUUCCAUUAAAUAACGACAGUAGACGCUGUAUUUUCUUUAAUACAGAUUCUGACGACUAUCGAUGUGUGGUGAUUCUCACAGUGAAGCGAGCCACAGGCACCUUCUCACUGAUAGGAUGCUUUUUCAUGCUGUUUGUAAUCUGGCUUCUCCGCCGGUAUCACUCCUUGGCCCAGAAGAUGAUUUGCAGUCUGACAGUUGCGGCCUUCUUUGACAGUGUAGCGUAUGUCAUCGGUGAUACCCAUCCAGAGGGGAGUCUGUGUAACUUCCAGGCCUGGUGGCUCACUUAUUUUGACUGGAGUGCCUUGGCCUGGGUGUCCUGAAUUAUUCUGAACCG
ensembl:lncRNA